CGGGGCGUAGCUCAGCUUGGCUAGAGUGUUGCACUGGGGGUGCAAAGGUCGCAGGUUCAAAUCCUGUCGCCCCGA
rnacentral:tRNA from 1 species